AUACGGAGGGUCCGAGCGUUAUCCGGAAUCAUUGGGUUUAAAGGGUCCGUAGGCGGGAAUCUAAGUCAGUGGUGAAAUCUUGCAGCUCAACUGUAAAAUUGCCAUUGAUACUGGAUUUCUUGAAUUAGUGUGAAGUGGUUAGAAUGUGUAGUGUAGCGGUGAAAUGCAUAGAUAUUACACAGAAUACCAAUUGCGAAGGCAGAUCACUAACACUAUAUUGACGCUAAGGGACGAAAGCGUGGGGAGCGAACAGGAUUAGAAACCCUAGUAGUCC
rnacentral:rRNA from 1 species